rnacentral:rRNA from 1 species
AUUGAACGCUGGCGGCAGGCCUAACACAUGCAAGUCGAGCGGAUGAAGAGAGCUUGCUCUCUGAUUUAGCGGCGGACGGGUGAGUAAUGCCUAGGAAUCUGCCUGGUAGUGGGGGAUAACGUUCCGAAAGGAACGCUAAUACCGCAUACGUCCUACGGGAGAAAGCAGGGGACCUGCGUGCCUUGCGCUAUCAGAUGAGCCUAGGUCGGAUUAGCUAGUUGGGGAGGUAAUGGCUCACCAAGGCUACGAUCCGUAACUGGUCUGAGAGGAUGAGCAGUCACACUGGAACUGAGACACGGUCCAGACUCCUACGGGAGGCAGCAGUGGGGAAUAUUGGACAAUGGGCGAAAGCCUGAUCCAGCCAUGCCGCGUGUGUGAAGAAGGUCUUCGGAUUGUAAAGCACUUUAAGUUGGAGGAAGGGCAGUAAGUUAAUACCUUGCUGUUUUGACGUUACCGACAGAAUAAGCACCGGCUAACUUCGUGCCAGCAGCCGCAGUAAUAC